rnacentral:sRNA from 1 species
UCUCCAGUGGAGAAUAGAGGGAGUAAGACAAAAAGAGAAGACCUAAAUAAUCCCAGUCGCAUCGCCUUCUGAAAGGAAAUAAAAACCCAAGAAAGUUAAAAGAAGAUGAAGCAAAACAAGAAGGCUAGAUCAAAGAGGCAGAAUUAGACCGCUUUAGACCAAUAAAUUGUUCCUGGGGUGACACACAGCAAGACGCAAAGAGAAAAGACCAAGGCCCCCGCCGCCGCCGUCUGUCUAGACUCAAGCGACUGGAGGGGCCGACAGAGCUGGUGUUUAAAGUAGAACCUGCCCAAUCCAACAGCCCGAGCGGGGAGCGAUUUCGGGGAGCGCGGGAAGGAACGCACUUCGCCAAGGGAGGGCCGGGUGCCCUCGCCCCCGGCUCAUCCCUGCUCCGAUUUUGCCCGGCGAGCGUCCAGGAGGUUCUGGCAGGACGCACUGCCCCUCUGCUCCGGCCAAGGAGGAUGCGGAUACUGCCCGUAAGGCUUCGGCCUUUAUGGACCCAAGUCAGCCAACUGGGCCGAGUCCUGCGGACACCGAAACCUCCCUUUCGUUUCCAGGCUUCUUUCUCCCCUCUUGCCCUCUGUGGUCUAAUUUAAAACGAAAAGGUCGGAUAAAAUCAGGCUUUCAAUAA